rnacentral:rRNA from 1 species
CUACGGAGGGGGCUAGCGUUGUUCGGAAUUACUGGGCGUAAAGCGCACGUAGGCGGUCUGCCAAGUCAGGCGUGAAAUCCCCGGGCUCAACCCGGGAACUGCGUUUGAAACUGGCAGGCUUGAGGCCGGGAGAGGGUAGUGGAAUUCCCAGUGUAGAGGUGAAAUUCGUAGAUAUUGGGAAGAACACCGGUGGCGAAGGCGGCUACCUGGACCGGUUCUGACGCUGAGGUGCGAAAGCGUGGGGAGCAAACAGGAUUAGAUACCCGAGUAGUCC